GCUCCACGGGGACGUCGGUCGUGGCUCGCUUUGAUUGGUGGCCCCAUAACCCAUCUCCUUCCCUCCUCCCUCGCGGCAUUGCGAGAAUCCGCUGCCCCCUUUCCCGGUCCUCUUUUAGCCCUCCCGUUCACGUCCAAAACCCUAAUUUCCUCCGCGGAUAAGAGGAACGAGACCCCAAUUCGCAUCCGGAUCGUUGCAUUUGCCUAUCCCAUCCAAGUUUUCGAUCCAUUGUCUCGCCUCUUGGUCGGAUUCACGGUGGCAGGGGAACGAACCGGUCAAUUCGGAUGUGAAUCAGGUCGUUCUUGGCGGUGAGGAUGCGAAUCCUGAGCCCGAUCAGGAUCUCCAAUAAUCUAUGCCUCCGCGGAUGAGAUGCCUCACCGGCUCGAUUCCGAAGAACCCACCCUCUAGGAGAUUGCUUGCUCCGAGAUCGCGACGGGUUCAAUUCUUCACGCCGGACAUGCUAGAGACCGUUCACGAGAUCGCCAUUUAUAUUCACCGGUUCCACAACCUCGAUCUAUUCCAGCAAGGAUGGUAUCAGAUAAAGAUAAGCGCAAGAUGGGAAGACGGCAGCCUGGAAUCUUGUGGUACUCCGUCCAGAGUUAUUCAGUAUGAAGCUCCCAAUAUAGUCUCAGAUGAUAUUUUUGCUGUUUGGAGGAUCGAUGAUGCUGAUCAUAGUUUCUUUACCCAUCCAUUCAAAAUCAAAUAUGCUAGACAGGAUGUUCCUCUAUCUAUCAUGGUGUCUUUCAAUUUUGCUACAGGGAAAUAUGAGAGACCAGCAAGUUCUGCGGCAAUACUAAAGUUUGAGCUCAUGUAUGCUCCAAUGUUCGAAAAUGGCAAUGAAAUUCAGGCCUCUAUUGAAAUGUUUCCAACUGCAGUCCAUGAAUUCAGGAUUCCUCCUAAAGCACUACAUGGUCUGCAUUCAUACUGUCCUGUUCAUUUUGAUGCUUUCCAUGCAGUGCUUGUUGAUUUAAGUGUACACAUUGUUUUCCUGAAAUCUGGUACCAGCAUACAAGAGAAGGUAUCAAGUACUUCUCUAAUGGUGGAGAAUAUUGCUGAUGAAUAUUACGGAUCCAAUCAGAUAUUAGGUCAAGGGUGGAGCCCAAAAGCAAUUGAAAUUGUGAAGUCACUGUUUGUUUCACGUGAGAUACUUAUGGAAGAAAUAAGAAACCUAAGCAAAGCAAUUGGACAAAAAAUUGAUGAUUUACAUAAUGCUGACCUCAAUCUUGGUAAAUUUGAGUUUAUUGGUUCUUCAUUGAGAACUGAUUUAUCUACUGCAAACACGGGCAUUUCUGGGUCAAGUAUGGGUGUUGGACACUUAGCUGGCAUGCUACAGAAUAUUCUGGAGAAAUCGAAUGGCACUGUCAAUUUUGAGAAUGAUGUCAUGCUCUACUCUUUGUCCAAGGAAGAACUGCUGGAUGUAUAUUUCACAAUGGGAAACCAACUCUCUUUUUUGUGGAAUACAUUUUUGAACUUCCAUAGGAUAAAUAGAAUUGCAAUACUUGAACAUCUCCAUGGUGUUUGGGCUAUGGAUCGGAAGGCAGAAUGGUCCAUAUGGAUGGUUCAUUCGAAGAUUGAAGUUCCCCACCGGUACUUGAAAAGUGGAGCUGAUGAUUCUUCUCACCAUAAUGCACUUGGAAAAGUAGUAGGUGUGAGGAAGUCCAAUGACGAGCCAGCUCAAGGUGCAACAACACGCGCUGAACUUCACCGGAGAAGUAUUGCCCAGAUGAAAAUAAACAGCCACUCAAUUCAAGACAUGUAUAUUUUUGGUGAUCCUUCACAUGUUCCUGUUGUUCUAGUAGAACAACAUGUCAUUGAUCUUCCUAACAAUUCAUCCUUGCAUAGUCCGGAUCCAAAUGAUGCUGCAAUACCUACUGGCCUUGGUAAAAAUGUUGUACCCAAAUUCAGUUUGGGACCCAAAAGAAAUUGUCGUGUACUACGAGCAGUUGUGUUUGUGCAUGGAUUUCAGGGGCACCAUCUCGAUUUAAGACUUGUUCGGAAUCAAUGGCUUUUGAUAGAUCCUGGAGCUGAAUGUCUCAUGUCAGAAGCUAAUGAAGAAAAGACAACAGGAGAUUUUAGAGAAAUGGGUCGAAGGUUGGCUUUGGAAGUGGUUGCCUUCCUUAGGAAGAAAAUGGAUAAGCUUUCAAGAUAUGGAGGCUGUAAAGUCACAAAGCUUAGUUUUGUUGGGCAUUCUAUUGGAAACAUCAUCAUCAGGAGUGCCUUAACAGAGAGUGUAAUGGGACCUUUCUUGAAGCACUUGUAUACAUAUAUGUCAAUAUCAGGGCCACAUUUAGGGUAUUGGUACAGCUCAAACUCUUUGUUCAAUUCAGGAUUGUGGCUUUUGAAGAAACUCAAAGGAGCUCAGUGCAUUAAUCAACUUACUUCUACUGAUGAUCCAGAUCUUCAGAAUACAUUCUUUUACAAGCUCUGUAAGAUUUGCAGUGAUGACAACAUCAUUUGAAGUCCACACUAAAAGCUUCACUAAAGGACAGGUGAGUUAUAUAAUAGUGUAGAACUGUAGAUAUUUGUUGUGAAAUGGAUUUCCUGCUUAUCCGAAGGAACAUGAGAAGAAUGUUGUAGAAAUCUUUGUUAAGAUCUUUAGUACUGCUUCAUUUCAAGAUCGUUUUUCUCUGGUUCGUGAGUUGUACUAUUCCAACUUUAAAAUAUCGUUUGAAUAGUUACUUACCAUCUGGUGUUUACUACCGCAAUCAAGCACUGGUGAAAUACACUUUGUACGACUCGAUAUACCUUUAUUUUAUUUUAUAUUUCAUCAUUGUUAGGCUGUUCAUGACGGUAAACUGCUUAGUACCUUUGUACCAAUCCAGCAAGUUUGUUGAAACCAGAAUAAAACAAGUCUUUAGAAUCUUGCUUGUAUGUAAUUUCUUAUAUGUUUUCUUGUCAAUUUUCAGCAGAAGACAUUGGAAAAUUUCAAAAACAUUAUCCUGGUAUCUUCCCCACAGGAUGGUUACGUUCCUUACCAUUCUGCCAGAAUUGAACUGUGCCAGGCAUCGUCUUGGGAUCAGUCAAAGAAGU